GGAAGGCUGAAUCAGGAGAAUCACUUAAACGUGGGAGGUAGAGGUUGCAGUGAGCCGAGGUCAUGCCAUUGCACUCCAGCCUGAGCAGCAGAGCAAGACUGCAUCUCAAAAGAAAAAAAAAAAAAAAGAACUGGGUAUUAAUUAAAUCAAAAGAAAGCUAAAAGUUUAUUUUAAUUCUCUAAAUUAAUAAGGAUUGGUGGAUCAGUUAGGAAUCUAAUCAGAUUUUACAUUAUUCCUGUGGGAGUGGGGGAAAAGUGUUUCAUACUCUAGGUAACAUAUUUACAAAUCAACCACUGGAACACAAUACAUGUGUAUGCUGGUGACUAAUGAGGAGGGUCAGGGGAUAGAUAGAGAAAGAUGCUGCUGGUGGAGAGGAGGACUGUGCCCCAUGCCCCUGUGUGGGCAGUGAGAGCCAGCAGAAAGCUUUCACUUCCUGACAAUGUCACAUGUGAAAUUGCACCCUGGUUCCACUCUCCUGAGUGAGUCCCUAUGUGCAAAACUCUGUGCCUCCCUGAGUCUUCCUGAUACACAUCCCUUCACUUGCUCCCAGCUAAGGCUCUUCCUCAAAGAUCCAGCCCUGUCUUCCGCCUUACUGCAAAAUGGUUAUUGUACAGGAAGGAAGACAAUACAAGAAAAGGAGAGAAAACUGAUCAAGGUAAGUGAUCUCACAGUUACCUGUUCCAUGUCCCCAUCAACCAUCAACCUUGAUUAUCUAGUUGGCUUGAAUGUAAUUUAGGUCAGAAGUCAGCAAACCACACAACCCAAACCAUAGUCAGCAAAUCCACAACCCAAACCUGGCCCACUGACUGCUUUUUGUAAAUACAAUUUUACAGGCACACAGCCAUGCAUCAUUCAUGUAUGUUUCAUCAAUGGCUGCCUUUGUACUAUAACCGCAGAGUUGAGGAGUGGCAACAGAAACAGUACGGCCAGCAGAGUCUAAAAUACUUACUUUCUGGCUCUUCACAGAAAAACUUUGCCAACUCCUCCCUUGGGUGCUUGGGCUAAUACCUUCCGCUUCUUUUUUUUUUUUUGAGAUGGAGUUUCGCUCUUGUUACCCAGGCUGGAGUGCAAUGGCGCGAUCUUGGCUCACCGCAACCUCCGCCUCCUGGGUUCAGGCAAUUCUCCUGCCUCAGCCUCCUGUCCUGAGUAGCUGGGAUUACAGGCACGUGCCACCAUGCCCAGCUAAUUUUUUGUAUUUUUAGUAGAGACGGGGUUUCACCAUGUUGACCAGGAUGGUCUCGAUUUCUUGACCUCGUGAUCCACCCGCCUCGGCCUCCCAAAGUGCUGGGAUUACAGGCUUGAGCCACCGCGCCCGGCCACGUUCUGCUUCUUAGAGCGUAGUUUGACUAAAGUAAAGGUCUCGCAUUCUCUAGUUCAUAAGCCUGGAUUUCAUACUGGCCACACACAGGAACACUGUAAAUGUUAAAAUCACCCUAAGUCGGGCCGGGCGCGGUGGCUCAGGCCUGUAAUCCCAGCACUUUGGGAGGCCGAGGCAGGCGGAUCACGAGGUCAAGAGAUCGAGACCAUCCUGACCAUGGUGAAACCCCGUCUCUACUAAAAAUACAAAAAUUAGCUGGGCGUGGUGGCACGCUCCUGUGGUCCCAGCUACUCGGGAAACUGAGGCGGAAGAAUCGCUUGAACGCAGGCGGAGGUUGCAGUGAGCUGAGAUUGCACCACUGCACUCCAGCCUAGUGACAGAGUAAGACAACGUCACAAAAAAAAAAAAAAAAAAAAAA
rnacentral:lncRNA from 13 species